rnacentral:rRNA from 1 species
AUGUCGAACUGGCAGUGCUCGACCGUCUCCGAGGCGAAGCUGCGAGCGCUCGUCGAUGCAGGGAUGCUCCCGUGCCUGACCGAGGCGCGGGAGUGGAUCAAGCCGAUGCUCGAGGACUCCCCACGACCUUCCCAGGGGUACGUGGUUUCCUUUGUCGCCUUUCAUGAGCACGGGUUCUCCGUGCCGGCGGGGAGAUUCAUCCGCGCCGUGCUCCACGAGUACAGCCUCGAGCUGCAGCACCUCAACCCGAAUGGCAUCCAGCACCUGGUGGCAUUUGAGGCGAUGUGCGAGGGAUACCUGGGCAUCGAGGCGCACUGGCAUCUCUUCCGUAACUUCUUCAUGCUUGUCUGCUUGAAGGACGAGCAGAGCCACAACCCGCCGACGAUCGGGUGCACUGGCAUCCGGCUCAAGCGGGGGAAACCCGAUGGCUAUCAACGGGCCCUUGACGAGCUCCAACAGCGGGUGGCGCUCAGAGUGGUUCUACCUCAAGAACGAUCCCGAGUGCCCUCUGCCGGUGUUCACCGGGGGUCUUCACGACACCACCCCGGCCGCGUGGUCCGAUGGGCCGGAGAAGAAGAAGCAGGCGAAGCUGCUCCAUGGCUGCCCCGCGGCAGUCACGGCCCUUCAGGCCCGAGGGGUGGACCUCGCCACCGUGAUUGGUGGUUACCUUGCGAGAGGGGUCGUGCCGCUACGGCGGCCCGCCCUUCGCCUGUUCGAGAUGACCGCGGACCGGGCUCCCUUCGGGGAGAAUUGAUUUUAACCCCCCAAGCUCGCGCGCCUUUGAUCUUAAGCCCCCUUGUUCGUUUGCCUUCCUCUGAAGCCCCCGACGCAGCCUAA